rnacentral:miRNA from 1 species
UGCACAGCUCAGGAGCGCCUGAUGGCAGGAGUGUCCUUGCUGUCCUGGGUCCUCCCAGCCUCCAUGUGUCCUGGGGGGAGCGCAGGAUCCUGGGCUGUGUCCCCCGGUGCCCUGAGAUCCAGGGCCUACGCCACUGG